rnacentral:rRNA from 1 species
AGUGAACGCUGGCGGUAGGCCUAACACAUGCAAGUCGAACGGCAGCACAGUAAGAGCUUGCUCUUACGGGUGGCGAGUGGCGGACGGGUGAGGAAUACAUCGGAAUCUACUUUUUCGUGGGGGAUAACGUAGGGAAACUUACGCUAAUACCGCAUACGACCUACGGGUGAAAGCAGGGGAUCUUCGGACCUUGCGCGAUUGAAUGAGCCGAUGUCGGAUUAGCUAGUUGGCGGGGUAAAGGCCCACCAAGGCGACGAUCCGUAGCUGGUCUGAGAGGAUGAUCAGCCACACUGGAAGGGAGACGAGGUCCAGACUCCUACGGGAGGCAGCAGUGGGGAAUAGUGGACAAUGGGCGCAAGCCUGAUCCAACCAUACCGCGUGGGUGAAGAAGGCCUUCGGGUUGUAAAGCCCUUUUGUUGGGAAAGAAAAGCAGCAGGUUAAUACCCCGCUGUUCUGACGGUACCCAAAAAAUAAGCACCGGCUAACUUCGUG